rnacentral:misc_RNA from 1 species
GAUGAAGAACGUAGCGAAAUGCGAUACGUAGUGUGAAUUGCAGAAUUCAGUGAAUCAUCGAAUCUUUGAACGCACAUUGCGCCCUUUGGUAUUCCAAAGGGCAUGCCUGUUCGAGCGUCAUUUGUACCCUCAAGCUUUGCUUGGUGUUGGGCGUCUUGUCUCCAGUCCGCUGGAGACUCGCCUUAAAGUCAUUGGCAGCCGGCCUACUGGUUUCGGAGCGCAGCACAAGUCGCACUCUUUUCCAGCCAAGGUCGGUGUCCAACAAGCCUUUUUUCAACUUUUGACCUCGGAUCAGGUAGGGAUACCCGCUGAACUUAAGCAUAUCAUAAGCGGAGGA